rnacentral:rRNA from 1 species
CACCUACGGGUGGCAGCAGUGGGGAAUUUUGGACAAUGGGCGCAAGCCUGAUCCAGCCAUGCCGCGUGCAGGAUGAAGGCCUUCGGGUUGUAAACUGCUUUUGUACGGAACGAAAAGUCUCUUUCUAAUAAAGAGGGAUCAUGACGGUACCGUAAGAAUAAGCACCGGCUAACUACGUGCCAGCAGCCGCGGUAAUACGUAGGGUGCAAGCGUUAAUCGGAAUUACUGGGCGUAAAGCGUGCGCAGGCGGUGAUGUAAGACAGUUGUGAAAUCCCCGGGCUCAACCUGGGAACUGCAUCUGUGACUGCAUCGCUGGAGUGCGGCAGAGGGGGAUGGAAUUCCGCGUGUAGCAGUGAAAUGCGUAGAUAUGCGGAGGAACACCGAUGGCGAAGGCAAUCCCCUGGGCCUGCACUGACGCUCAUGCACGAAAGCGUGGGGAGCAAACAGGAUUAGAUACCCUGGUAGUCCACGCCCUAAACGAUGUCAACUGGUUGUUGGGAAUUCACUUUCUCAGUAACGAAGCUAACGCGUGAAGUGACCGC